rnacentral:rRNA from 1 species
GACAGAGGUGGCGACCGUUGUUCGGAAUCACUGGGCAUAAAGCGCGUGUAGGCGGUGAGAUAAGUCGGGUGUGAAAUCCCUCGGCCUAACCGAGGAAUUGCGCUCGAAACUAUCUUGCUUGAGGAUCAGAGGGGAGCCUGGAAUUCCUGGUGGAGCGGUGAAAUGCGUUGAUAUCAGGAGGAACACCGGCGGCGAAGGCGAGGCUCUGGCUGAUUUCUGACGCUGAGACGCGAAAGCUAGGGGAGCAAACGGG